ACUCUUACGGGAGGCAGCAGUGGGGAAUUUUGCCCAAUGGGGGAAACCCUGACGCAGCAACGCCGCGUGGAGGAUGAAGUCCUUUUGGGAUGUAAACUCUUUUCGAUCGGACGAUAAUGACGUACC
rnacentral:rRNA from 1 species